rnacentral:rRNA from 1 species
UCGCCUGUUUAUCAAAAACAUCGCCUCUUGCUAAACCAAAAGUAUAAGAGGUCCCGCCUGCCCUGUGACUAUAUGUUUAACGGCCGCGGUAUUUUGACCGUGCGAAGGUAGCGCAAUCACUUGUCUCUUAAAUGGGGACCUGUAUGAAUGGCAUAACGAGGGCUUGACUGUCUCCUCUUUCAAGUCAAUGAAAUUGAUCUCCCCGUGCAGAAGCGGGGAUAUACACAUAAGACGAGAAGACCCUAUGGAGCUUUAGACACUAAAGCAGAUCAGCAUUAAUACCCCAAACACGGGGCACGAAUAAACUAAACCCUGCCCUAAUGUCUUAGGUUGGGGCGACCGCGGAGAAAUAAAAAACCCCCGCAAGGACCGAAUGUACUACAUUCACAACCAAGAGCGACAGCUCUAAUUAACAGAUACUUCUGACCAAUAAGAUCCGGCAACGCCGAUCAAUGGACCAAGUUACCCUAGGGAUAACAGCGCAAUCUCCUCUUAGAGCCCGUAUCAACGAGGAGGUUUACGACCUCGAUGUUGGAUCAGGACAUCCUAAUGGUGCAGCCGCUAUUAAGGGUUCGUUUGUUCAACGAUUAAAGUCCUACGUGAUCUGAGUUCAGACCGGA